GACGAACGCUGGCGGCGUGCUUAACACAUGCAAGUCGAACGGAAAGGCCCUGCUUUUGUGGGGUGCUCGAGUGGCGAACGGGUGAGUAACACGUGAGUAACCUGCCCUUGACUUUGGGAUAACUUCAGGAAACUGGGGCUAAUACCGGAUAGGAGCUCCUGCUGCAUGGUGGGGGUUGGAAAGUUUCGGCGGUUGGGGAUGGACUCGCGGCUUAUCAGCUUGUUGGUGGGGUAGUGGCUUACCAAGGCGUUGACGGGUAGCCGGCCUGAGAGGGUGACCGGCCACAUUGGGACUGAGAUACGGCCCAGACUCCUACGGGAGGCAGCAGUGGGGAAUAUUGCACAAUGGGCGGAAGCCUGAUGCAGCAACGCCGCGUGCGGGAUGACGGCCUUCGGGUUGUAAACCGCUUUCGCCUGCGACGAAGCGUGAGUGACGGUAAUGGGUAAAGAAGCACCGGCUAACUACGUG
rnacentral:rRNA from 1 species